UGCGGUGCGUCGGGGGGGGGGUGGGUAAUGAAUUUUUCUCCUUUUCCCUCAAUUUUUUGUGUUCGCUUUCGCUCUGCGACCGGUGGGGAACGGCGGCGGCGAUUUUUUUUUUUUUGCCGGCCCCAAAUCCACGGUUUUUUCCCCCAAUUCCACCUGGCACCGGGCUGCGAACGCUUGGACCCGAACCCGGGAUGGGGUAAAAAGAAGGAAAAAAAAAAAUAAUAAAAAAUAAUUAAAAAUGAAUAAACGAGAAGAAACGGGCAGGAUCGCGCGCAGGACGCCGAAGCGUCGAAGGAUCGGAAAAGAAUAAAAAAACUGAAAGUUUCAGUUUUCCUUUUUUCCCCCAAAAAAAGGACGAGAAGGUGAAACGGAAAGCGGGGCUUUUCCCCACUUUGGGGCAAAAACGAGCAGAAUCGGGCAAGUCUCAAGCGGAACCGGAUCGGCGGGGGAAAACGGAAAGCAGAAAAACGCCAAAAAAAGUGAAAGACGACGAAAAAAGAACUGGGAAGCGGAAGGCGGUUUUUUUUUGGGUGAAAAAAGCCCGAAAUCGGAGCCGCCGGACGCGCUCCCCGGCGGCCGCCGCUUUUUUGGGGGAAAUUUGGGUAUUUUGCGCUUUUGUCCGCGUCGCUGCGCUCCUCCCGUCAAGUAGAAAUAAACUAGAGCCUAGCUACACGCCGCCUGCCUCGUUUUGGGGAGAAAAACAGGGAUUUCGGGACAAAAGGCGCUCGUUUGGGUUUUUAAGGGGGUUGAGGCCAUUUAGGGGUUUUUAGGGUUUUUUUUUUUCACGGCCCCAAGGGUUCGGCACAUCCCCGGGGCCCCACUACCCAAAAAAAUGGGAAAAUCCUCGCGUUUUCACCCAAAAAUGGGUGGGGUGGCGGGCGAGCCGGUGAGGAAACAGCCCUAAAAAGGCAAAAAUCGAUAAAAAUUAACGCAAGUUUUUAAUUUUUCAUUAAUUAUGAGAAUGAACGGGGCGAGCCCUCGCUUCCAUUUCCCCUUUUGCUGCAAACGAGCCCCAAAAGCUGCCCCGAGCGGCCUGAAUUCGCCCGAUUUCACCCCAAAACGCUGCCCUGGGAGGCUGCUGAGGGCGGCGCCCUUCAAGAAAAAAAACGGACGAAAACGGGCAAAAAAGCGAGGAUUUCAGGAAAAAAGGGGGGUCGGGGUCACAAAGAAAGGGGAUUCGGGGGGAAAAUUGGGAAGAAAAGGCAAAUUGGGGGCGGAUCCGUUAAUUAUUAAUACUAAUUUUUAUUUAAUUUACUGGCCCGCGAGCGGGGGGGCGGCGUUCACUCUGGAGCGGAAUGUUUCCCUCGCGCUCCGCGGCGGGAAAAUCCCCCAAAACGCCCCAAAAUCCGCCCGAGGGGGGGCCGCUCGAACCGGCGCGGUUCUCAUCGCCGCCCCGCUGCGCGAAGCCGGCCUCCGCUGUCCGGGGGGGUGGAGGCUCGGCCUUGAGGGGUCCUCCCAGGGCUGCCUCCUUUUUUUUUUGGGGGGGGCGCGGGGGUGGUUGCCCCGUUUUUGUCCGCCGGGGAGGCUCCAGCCUCUACCCCCGGGGGCGCGGCGGCCUCGUCUGUCCGUGGGGAGGAGGAAGAGGAGGCUCCAGCCUCUACCCCGCGGGCGCGGCGGCCUCGUGACUCCGUGCGGAGGAGGAAGAGGAGGCCAGAGGGGGCUAGAGGCUGAUGCUGCGGUGGUGCCUGAAGAGGCCCUGGCCUCCGCGGCGCUGCUCCCGCUCCUCCGUCUCGCCGCUGUUGAGGCUGGCGGCGUCGGAGAGGCCGAGGAGGUGCUCCACCGAGUCGAACUUCUGCAGGUCGGAGGCGAUGGUCUGGAGGCUGAGCACCGAGAGCGCGUCCGCCGGGGGCCCCUCGGCCCCUCGCUGCCCGGCCUCGCCGGCCUCCCCGGCCUCGCCGGCCUCGGCCCCGACGGGGGAGGCCCGGCGGAGGACGAGGCGCUGGAGGCGGCGGGCGUGGAUCUGCUCGCUGAUCUGCUCCAGGUUGCGCAGGGCCACCGAGUAGCGCGUCUUGGCCUGCGCCACGCGCCGCUCCAGCGCCGUCACCGCGGCCUUGUGCUCCUGGGGGGGGAGGGGGGAAAAAGGGAGGCCGGGAGGUCGCCCCGGGGAGGCUGGCACCCGGGGAGGCUUCGAAAGGCCUCGGAUGGGGAGGGGACGCCAGGAGGGGCGAGCACGGGGAGGAGGAGGCCACGGGGAGGAAG
ensembl:lncRNA